AUGCUUGAACAUAUUAGAAUGGAGACAUUGCAAAUCUUGAGCAUAGCUGGAUCACUCAAGGUCGUAGGCGUCAUACUUUCGGUUGGAGGUACAAUGCUCAUCAGCCUUUACAAGGGCAAGAUACUGCAUCUUUGGAAACCCGUUCUGCGCCACAUGGGGCAAAACACGACGGAGGUUGCAGGCAAUCAUCUAAGAGGGGCAAUAUUCUUGGUAGGCAGCAGCAUCACACUUGCUUGCUGGUACCUGAUUCAGUCAAAGGUUAUGAAGGUGUAUCCAUACAAAUACUGGUCGUCCAUGGUGACAUGUUUGGUUGGAGGAUUUCAAACAGCACUAGUUGGAAUAAUAUUGAGUAGGGACAAAAGUGCAUGGAAGCUAGGAUGGGAUCUCAACCUUCUGACCAUCUUCUACUCUGGGGCACUUGCAACGGCUGGGAAAUAUAGCUUGAACUCAUGGGUCGUCGCCAAGCGAGACCCAGCAUAUCCUCCAAUGUUCAGCCCAUUGUCAGUGGUAUUCACUGUUUUGUUGGACUCCAUCUUUAUAGGCGACGAGAUUACGACAGGAAGCUUGUUCGGCACAACAGUGGUGAUUGCUGGGCUCUACAUUUUCCUAUCAGCAAAAUCAAAAGAAGUGCGGGACAAAUAG
rnacentral:rRNA from 1 species